CAGUAGCCACGGGAAUACGAAGGGGGCUAGCGUUGCUCGGAAUGACUGGGCGUAAAGGGCGCGUAGGCGGAUUGUUUAGUUAGGCGUGAAAUUCCUGGGCUUAACCUGGGGACUGCGCUUAAUACAGGCAGUCUAGAGUGAGGAAGAGGGUUGUGGAAUUCCCAGUGUAGAGGUGAAAUUCGUAGAUAUUCGCAAGAACACCAGUGGCGAAGGCGACUCUCUGGUCUGUAACUGACGCUGAGGAGCGAAAGCGUGGGGAGCGAACAGGAUUAGAUACCCCUGUAGUCCCUGUCUCUUAUAC
rnacentral:rRNA from 1 species